AGCCUCCAGCUCUGAGAUAACAGCAAAAAUGGUGGUGGAGAAGAAGAGCUCUUCAAGCAGAGUGAGAGUAAGACACAUGGGUCCAGCCUUAAUUCUGGUGCCCUCAGACUUCAACUGGUUGCAUCACACAAGGAUUUUGGAUGAGUAUCAGUAGCGCAAGAUAGAACAGUUUCAAGGCAUGUUCAGUUGCAUGGCAAGAAACUCUAUUUUGUGUCUUUUCUUAAGCACAUACAAAAUGUUUCCUCAGUAUUUUACUUGAACAUUUGUUUUAAUAGAUAUGUUUGAAGCUAUGUGUAAAAACAAGUAGAAAAUUAUUCCUUAUUCCUGCCAAUACAAUAACAAAAAUAAAGAAAUGAGCCAAGCCUGGUAUUGGAAGCAAAAU